CUACAAGACAGACAGGUUGUGUCCUUUGCAAGCCACCAAAGAAAGCAAAUGAUCUUUACAUUUGAUUUCCUCUCUGGGGCAAAGAGUUGGUUUUAGAAAGCUGAGCAUUCAGCAGGUUCCAGAUGCAAGGCAGAUGCUGGAACCCUGGCUGCUGUCAUUAUGGCUUUGGAGCAGGGGAGUGCCACAUUUGGAACGAGUAACACAAAACAGAAAAGGAGGAAACGCCAACGCUGUGCUCCACCAUGUGAGGACGCAGAGAGAAUGUGGCCAUCCACAAGCCAGGAAGAGAGUCUUCACCAGAAACUAAACCCUGAUGGAAACUUAAUCUUAGAUUUUCCAGGCUCCAGAAUUGUGAGAAAAUACAUUUUUGUUAUCUAAGCCACCAAGUCUGUAGUAUUUUGUUAUGGCAGCUUGACCAGACUAAGGCAAUAAGCAUCACCUGGGGAGCUCAUUAGACAUACAGGUUGUUGGGACCUGUUCCUGACUCUAUUAAUUUGAGAUAGGCCUGGAAAUCUGCCUCUUUUUAACAAGAACUCUAAGCAUUCUAUCUAUAUUUUGAUGUGCCCUAGUCCAAAAGAAACAUCGUUAUCUAGACUCCUGUUGGUGCUGUUACAGUCAGACUUGGCGGCCAUGAACUGAAUUCCUAGUUCUACCACUCCAAUAUGCAUGCUAAGUCACUUCAGUCGUGUCCAGCUCUUUGCAACCCGCCAGGUGCCCCUGUCCAUGGGAUUUUCCAGGCAAGAAUACUGGAGCCAGUUGCCAUGCCCUACUCCAAGGGAUCUUCCUGCCUCAGGAAUGAAACCCAGGUCUCUUCUGUCUCCUGCAUUAGCAGGCGGAUUCUUUACCACUGGCGCCACCUGGGAAGCCCUACCACCCCAGCAGUGGCAAACCAAAUUAGCUUGAUUAUGAGCACCCCCUUUUGGUAAAACAUUUUGAGCAUGCAACCGGCUGAGCACUAUACUUAAUAGAUUAUAUACGCCCAAUGGGGCUUCCCUGGUGGCUCAGUGGCAAAGAAUCUGCCUGCCAAUGCAGAAAACAGGGGUUAAAUUCCUGGGUGGGGAAGAUCCCCUAGAGAAAGAAAUGGCAACUCACUCCAGUAUUAUUUCCUGGGAAAAAAAGACAGAGGAGACUGACUAGCUAUAGUCCAUGGGGUUGCAAGAGUCAGACAGAACUUAGCGACUAAAUAAUGAAUCAUUUACUGAAAUAUUAACAAAGUUAAUUUUUGCAUAAAAACACAGGUACAAAGUGAAGCUGUUUUCUUUUGAGAUCCCAAUGGAUCAUCUUUAGCCUGUGGAGGCCUCUCAC
ensembl:lncRNA